rnacentral:rRNA from 1 species
AAGUCGUAACAAGGUAACCGUAGGUGAACCUGCGGUUGGAUCAUUAAUAAAAUGAUAAAGGUCAUUGGGUUUUAUAUAAUCCAGUGGCUUUUAUAAACACCUGUGAACUGUAAUUGUAUCUGGUGGGGCUAUAUCUUAAGUUGAAAGGCUUUUUUAGAAUCCCACCAUCAAUAAUUUGAACUUUUAUUAAUCAUGAACUAGUUUUUUAAUUUAAAAUAAUUAUCAACAACUUUUGACAACGGAUCUCUAGGCUCUCGCAACGAUGAAGAACGCAGCGAAAUGCGAUAAGUAAUGUGAAUUGCAAAAUUCCGUGAAUCAUUAAAUCUUUGAACGCACCUUGCGCUCUUUGGCAAUCCAGAGAGCAUGUCUGUUUGAGAAUCAGUUUAAAUCUCAUUCCCUAUUAUAUUGGUGUAAGAACCAGUAUAGUGGAGAGAAUGGUUUUGGGUUCUUCAUUUGUUAAAAAUGAAAUUCCUUAAAUUAAAGUUGUCUGGUAUUCAUUUUCAAAGCGUUUUAACCGGAAAGCAUGACCAAUGGACUGGCUUCAAAAACCUUGUUCUUGAUUGCUGAUAAAGGUUUCGUUCUUGAAUGAAUUUCCAAACAAACCCUCUUUUAAAUACGAAAACCAUACUAGGUUUUUAAGACUUUGAUCUCAAAUCAGACAAGACUACCCGCUGAACUUAAGCAUAUCAAUAAGCGGAGGAAAAGAAACUAACAAGGAUUCCCCUAGUAACGGCGAGUGAAGCGGGAAUAGCUCAAAUUUGAAAUCUCACAGGUUCCCUGUGCGAAUUGUAGUUUAAAGAAGUAUUUUCGGAGGCGCACCAAGUCCAAGUCCUUUGGAACGAGGCAUCAUAGAGGGUGAGAAUCCCGUCUUUGAUUUGGUUUGCGCUUCUAUGUGAUAUACUUUCAAAGAGUCGGGUUGUUUGGGAAUGCAGCCCAAAAUGGGUGGUAUAUAUCAUCUAAAGCUAAAUAUUGGCGAGAGACCGAUAGCGAACAAGUACCGCGAGGGAAAGAUGAAAAGAACUUUGAAAAGAGAGUUAAAUAGUACGUGAAAUUGUCAAAAGGGAAACGUUUAAAACCAGUCUUGUUUACUGGAUCUCAACUCAUCUAACGGUGAGCCCAUGUUCUAGUAAGCAGGUCAACAUCGGUUUGGUAUGAAGUAUAAAGCUUGAAAAAGGUAGCGUACUUGUACGUGUUAUAGUUUCAAGUUCUGCUUUGGAUCAGACCGAGGAACGCAGCUCAGUCUUGCGGACCCGUUCAUAAAUUGAUGCUGAUUGGUAGACUACUUGUAGAUUACUAAUUGGAUAAGGUUUCCUGGGCGGUUUACGACACCUGUGCUUAGGAUGUUGACAUAAUGGUUUUAAGCGACC